AUUAUUGGGCCUAAAACGUCCGUAGCCGGCUGAGUAAAUGCUUGGGUAAAUCGUGCCGCUUAACGGUACGAAUUCCGGGUACACUGCUUGGCUUGAGAUCGGGAGAAGCUAGAGGUACUCCUGGGGUAGAGGUGAAAUUCUGUAAUCCUGGGGGGACCACCAGUGGCGAAGGCGUCUAGCUAGAACGAGUCUGACGGUGAGGGACGAAACCCUGGGGCGCAAACCGGAUUAGAUACCCGGGUAGUCCAGGGCGCAAACGCUGCUUGCUUGAUGUUAGCUGGGCUCCGAGCUCAGCUAGUGUCGGAGAGAAGUUGUUAAGCAAGCUGCCUGGGAAGUACGAUCGCAAGAUUGAAACUUAAAGGAAUUGGCGGGGGAGCACAGCAACGGGUGGAGCGUGCGGUUUAAUUGGAUUCAACGCCGGAAAACUCACCGGAGGCGACGGUUACAUGAAGGCCAGGCUGAUGACCUUGCCUGAUUUUCCGAGAGGUGGUGCAUGGCCGCCGUCAGUUCGUACCGUAAGGCGUUCUGUUAAGUCAGAUAACGAACGAGACCCUCAUCCUUAAUUGCUACUAAUAACUCCGGUUGUUAGGCACAUUAAGGAGACCGCUGACGAUAAGUCAGAGGAAGGCGAGGGCAACGGUAGGUCAGUAUGCCCUGAAUCCUCCGGGCUACACGCGCGCUACAAAGGUCAGGACAAUGGGCUUCGACACCGAGAGGUGAAGGUAAUCCCGAAACCUGAUCAUAGUUCGGAUUGAGGGUUGAAACUCACCCUCAUGAAGCUGGAAUCCGUAGUAAUCGCGGAUCA
rnacentral:rRNA from 1 species